rnacentral:rRNA from 1 species
GACGAACGCUGGCGGCGUGCUUAACACAUGCAAGUCGAACGGAAAGGCCCUGCUUUUGUGGGGUGCUCGAGUGGCGCACGGGUGUGUAACACGUGAGUAACCUGCCCUUGACUUUGGGAUAACUUCAGGAAACUGGGGCUAAUACCGGCUAGGAGAUCCUGCUGCAUGGUGGGGGUUGGAAAGCUUCGGCGGUUGUGGGUGGACUCGCGGGUUAUGAGCUGGUUGGGGGGGUGGUGGCUUACCAAGGCUUUGGUGGGUAGCCGGCCUGGGAGGGGGAUCGGCGACCUUGGUACUGAGAGACGGCCCAGACUCGUACGGGGGGCAGCAGGGGGGAGUAUGGCACAGUGGGCGGAAGCCUGAUGCAGCAACGCCGGGUGCGGGAUGACGUCCAUCGGGUUGGGAACCGCAGUCGCCUGUGACGAAGCGUUAGUGACGGUAAUGGGUAAAGAAGCACCGGCUAACUACGUG